GGGUGAUAGAAAGGUCCCUGAAGAGGCAAAACUAGAACUCAGUAUAGUGUACGUAGCAGUAUAGGUCUGUGUAGGUACUAUUAAUCAAUAUUAAUAUAAUCCACUAUACAUUUUAUUCAUCGUGUUGUUUUAUAUUCGAAUAUUAAAAUACUUCAAAGAAUACAACAUGACUGCCUUCAUACGUCAAGCUUUCAAUGUAACGUCACGAUUUUUGUCACAAGUUACGUGGUAACGUUGUCUAUUCACAUUAGAAAAUUGUUUAAGAUGAAAAAAAAGCGGUUCACUUCAUCUAUUAAAGAAUCGUUUGAAUUUAAUUGAAUGGAUGUGUCAAACUUUCGAUUAUUGUUUUCAAAGUGGAACGGAACAUCAUCUGCAUCACUUAUUUUUUGAGAUGUUUUAUACGAGUAUGUAGGCGUGCAGGAAAGUAUUUUUGAGUCUCUCGACUUGUUGACGACUUAUAUGAUCGUAUCGUAAUCUACACAAUCUAUUUCAUCCUACCUAGUUUGUGUUUUAAUUGUCCAUCCUAAUUAUUAUUGUACUAAUAGGAUA
rnacentral:misc_RNA from 1 species